CAUAAAAAAAUGCCCGACAACUUUGGUAUGUUUCUAACUUUCAAUCGGUUAUUGGAAUAGUCGAGCUCAAUUGGGUUACCUUCCUUUUCUUCUGCUUCAUUUCCUUUGCUAUGUUUCUAACUUUCAAUCGGCUUCGUCUGCCUCUGUUUCUCCUGGUUCUGCUGCUGCUGCUACUUCUUCUUCCUCCUUUGCUUGAUAUCUUAUAUGUGUGUACGAACAGAUCUCCAAGCAUUUGAGAAACCCACCAAAACUGAGUUUCCACAGUGACUGAGAGUUCUCCAGCCAUGUCUCUGGUGCAAGGCAAAUGGAUCAAGGUCGAUAAAGCUGUCGGUGAUGAUUGGAAAUCGCUCUCGAGGCUGAAGUCGUGGUUUCAGCUAUUAAGGGGCCAGCAUAAGAUAGAAUGCACUGGAUAGGGCAAUACAAACCGAUCAGGUCCGACCCAAACCAAAUUCAGUUUCUGCAUGAGUCAUACAAUGAAGCUCUGGGAGAGUCAUUGAGCAUAGAUUAAGGCAAGAGACACGGGUUUCGGACAACCAAUUCGGAUUCAUGUCAGGACGCUUAACUAUGGAGGCAAUCUAUCUCUUAUGAAGAUUGAUGGAAAGAUAUAGAGAGGGGAAAAAGGAUUUACACAUGGUCUUUAUAGAUUUGGAAAAAGCGUAUGAUAUGGUCCCAAGAGACAUUUGAAGGAAAA